GAUGAAGAACGUAGCGAAAUGCGAUAAGUAAUGUGAAUUGCAGAAUUCAGUGAAUCAUCGAGUCUUUGAACGCACAUUGCGUCCCCUGGUAUUCCGGGGGGCAUGCCUGUCCGAGCGUCAUUGCUGCCCUCAAGCACGGCUUGUGUGUUGGGCCCCGCCCCCCGGCUCCCGGGGGGCGGGCCCGAAAGGCAGCGGCGGCACCGCGUCCGGUCCUCGAGCGUAUGGGGCUUCGUCACCCGCUCCGUAGGCCCGGCCGGCGCCCGCCGGCGACCCCCCUCAAUCUUUUCAGGUUGACCUCGGAUCAGGUAGGGAUACCCGCUGAACUUAAGCAUAUCAAUAAGCGGAGGA
rnacentral:misc_RNA from 1 species